GGCUUGAUGGUCUAGUAGUAUGAUUCCUUGUUAGGGUAAUGUCAGUUCGAGGAGGUCCCGGGUUCAAUUCCCGGUCAAGCCC